CCCGGGCCAGCCUCUGUCUCUGUGACCUUCCCUGGACCUCAGAUUUCCUUCCACGAAGUCAGGAGGGGGUGAGGUCUGCAGGACUCUUCCCACUUACGGUUUUCUGGGGUUUCACCCGUGGCCUAAACGCCUUCAGAAUCGGCGCCCUCUGUCUGGCCCACCCUCCCGCAGAAGGGCAGGGCCAGGUCUCCAGCCCCGCCUUCGCCCUCCCAUCUUCUCAGGAGCACUGAAUGCCCGAGCAAGCAGAAGAGGAAGAGCCAGGUGUCAGAGUUCUGGGAUCCCAGGACAUGAAUCUUUUCCUGCCCCUCGGACAGAGGCUGGGCACAGAGACAGAACCGCUGGCAGGAGCUCUCACCACCUCCAGUGUGCAUUCUGUCCGCUUCCUGCCGUUGGCCUGAGUUGUGGCCUGUAGUUCUGGAUGCAAAUACCCCCACCCCAGCUGCAUGUGACGCAUGCUGAGCCGUCACUGAGCUGGAGGCGCUGUGCUGCGCGUGGCCGUCAAGUCUCACUUUCGUCUCAGAAUCUGGUGGACACCGUCGGUUUCUCCAUUUUACUGAACUUGAGAAAGCUGUGCCCAAUGUCACAUGGUUGCUCCGUGUGACAUGUAUUUGUGUUCUCCAUUUGACAGACGUGGAGGCUUUAAGGCUUAAGAAGUAUUUUCUUCUAUGCAUAUUAAACGUAGCAGAUAUAAUGUGUUCAGCCAAUCCUGGCACGAAUCUGGACUACAUUUCCCAGUCUCCCCUGCAGGAGGCAGCGAAGGACUCCACGACCCUAGGAGACCACCACACUUCUAGUCUGAAGGUGCCUGGAUUCCUGAAUGACCCAGUGGAGUUGAGACCCCCCACUCCCCCUAAUGUUGCCUGAGGGUGAAAUAAACCUUUGUGGGU
rnacentral:lncRNA from 1 species